GACGGGAUUCGGGACUUCGGUUCCGAUGAGAGUGGCGCACGGGUGCGUAACGCGUGAGCAACCUGCCCAUAUCAGGGGGAUAGCCCGGAGAAAUCCGGAUUAACACCGCAUAACACAGCAGUCUGGCAUCAGACCACUGUUAAAUAUUUAUAGGAUAUGGAUGGGCUCGCGUGACAUUAGCUGGUUGGCGGGGUAACGGCCCACCAAGGCGACGAUGUCUAGGGGCUCUGAGAGGAGAAUCCCCCACACUGGUACUGAGACACGGACCAGACUCCUACGGGAGGCAGCAGUAAGGAAUAUUGGUCAAUGGGGGCAACCCUGAACCAGCCAUGCCGCGUGCAGGAUGACUGCCCUACGGGUUGUAAACUGCUUUUGUCAGGGAAUAAACCUUUCCACGAGUGGGAAGCUGAAUGUACCUGAAGAAUAAGGAUCGGCUAACUCCGUGCCAGCAGCCGCGGUAAUACGGAGGAUCCGAGCGUUAUCCGGAUUUAUUGGGUUUAAAGGGUGCGUAGGCGGCCAUUUAAGUCAGAGGUGAAAUACGGCAGCUCAACUGUCGCAGUGCCUUUGAUACUGAGUGGCUUGAAUUCUGUUGAAGAUGGCGGAAUGAGACAAGUAGCGGUGAAAUGCAUAGAUAUGUCUCAGAACACCGAUUGCGAAGGCAGCUGUCUAAGCAGCGAUUGACGCUGAUGCA
rnacentral:rRNA from 1 species